UGUCCAGUAGCACCUUAUAGACCAACUAAGCUUGUUCUGGUAUAAGCAUGCACACAUGCACAAAAGCUUAUACCAGAACAAACUUAGUUGGUCUAUAAAGUGCUACUGGACA